AGAAAGACAUAGUGGCUAUGAGGUUGGCUUGAAACCAGUUUUAGGGGGUUCGAAUCCUUCCUUUCUUA
rnacentral:tRNA from 1 species